rnacentral:rRNA from 1 species
UACGAAGGGGGCGAGCGUUGAUCGGAAUUACUGGGCGUAAAGGGCGCGUAGGCGGCGACUCAAGUCAGAUGUGAAAGUCCUGGGCUUAACCUGGGGACUGCAUUUGAUACUGGGUUGCUUGAAUUCGGGAGAGGAUAGCGGAAUUCCCAGUGUAGAGGCGAAAUUCGUAGAUAUUGGGAAGAACACCGGUGGCGAAGGCGGCUAUCUGGACCGACAUUGACGCUGAGGCGCGAAAGCGUGGGGAGCAAACAGG